rnacentral:piRNA from 1 species
GCCGCCACUGUCUGAAAUGAAGCUCUU